rnacentral:rRNA from 1 species
AUUGAACGCUGGCGGCAGGCCUAACACAUGCAAGUCGAACGAGUGGCGGACGGGUGAGUAAUGUCUGGGAAACUGCCUGAUGGAGGGGGAUAACUACUGGAAACGGUAGCUAAUACCGCAUACCAUCGGAUGUGCCCAGAUGGGAUUAGCUAGUAGGUGGGGUAAAGGCUAACCUAGGCGACGAUCCCUAGCUGGGCUGAGAGGAUGAACAGCCAGCUUGGAACUUAGACACGGCCCAGACUCCUACGGGAGGCACCAGUGGGGAAUAUUGCACAAUGGGCGCAAGCCUGAUGCAGCCAUGCCGCGUGUAUGAAGAAGGCCUUCGGGUUGUAAAGUACUUUCAGCGGGGAGGCGUUAACCGCAGAAGAAGCACCGGCUAACUCCGUGCCAGCAGCCGCGGUAAUUC